AGAGUUUGAUCAUGGCUCAGAUUGAACGCUGGCGGCAGGCCUAACACAUGCAAGUCGAACGGUAACAGAAAGCAGCUUGCUGCUUUGCUGACGAGUGGCGGACGGGUGAGUAAUGUCUGGGAAACUGCCUGAUGGAGGGGGAUAACUACUGGAAACGGUAGCUAAUACCGCAUAACGUCGCAAGACCAAAGAGGGGGACCUUCGGGCCUCUUGCCAUCGGAUGUGCCCAGAUGGGAUUAGCUUGUUGGUGGGGUAACGGCUCACCAAGGCGACGAUCCCUAGCUGGUCUGAGAGGAUGACCAGCCACACUGGAACUGAGACACGGUCCAGACUCCUACGGGAGGCAGCAGUGGGGAAUAUUGCACAAUGGGCGCAAGCCUGAUGCAGCCAUGCCGCGUGUAUGAAGAAGGCCUUCGGGUUGUAAAGUACUUUCAGCGGGGAGGAAGGGAGUAAAGUUAAUACCUUUGCUCAUUGACGUUACCCGCAGAAGAAGCACCGGCUAACUCCGUGCCAGCAGCCGCGGUAAUACGGAGGGUGCAAGCGUUAAUCGGAAUUACUGGGCGUAAAGCGCACGCAGGCGGUUUGUUAAGUCAGAUGUGAAAUCCCCGGGCUCAACCUGGGAACUGCAUCUGAUACUGGCAAGCUUGAGUCUCGUAGAGGGGGUAGAAUUCCAGGUGUAGCGGUGAAAUGCGUAGAGAUCUGGAGGAAUACCGGUGGCGAAGGCGGCCCCCUGGACGAAGACUGACGCUCAGGUGCGAAAGCGUGGGGAGCAAACAGGAUUAGAUACCCUGGUAGUCCACGCCGUAAACGAUGUCGACUUGGAGGUUGUGCCCUUGAGGCGUGGCUUCCGGAGCUAACGCGUUAAGUCGACCGCCUGGGGAGUACGGCCGCAAGGUUAAAACUCAAAUGAAUUGACGGGGGCCCGCGACAAGCGGUGGAGCAUGUGGUUUAAUUCGAUGCAACGCGAAGAACCUUACCUGGUCUUGACAUCCACGGAAGUUUUCAGAGAUGAGAAUGUGCCUUCGGGAACCGUGAGACAGGUGCUGCAUGGCUGUCGUCAGCUCGUGUUGUGAAAUGUUGGGUUAAGUCCCGCAACGAGCGCAACCCUUAUCCUUUGUUGCCAGCGGUCCGGCCGGGAACUCAAAGGAGACUGCCAGUGAUAAACUGGAGGAAGGUGGGGAUGACGUCAAGUCAUCAUGGCCCUUACGACCAGGGCUACACACGUGCUACAAUGGCGCAUACAAAGAGAAGCGACCUCGCGAGAGCAAGCGGACCUCAUAAAGUGCGUCGUAGUCCGGAUUGGAGUCUGCAACUCGACUCCAUGAAGUCGGAAUCGCUAGUAAUCGUGGAUCAGAAUGCCACGGUGAAUACGUUCCCGGGCCUUGUACACACCGCCCGUCACUACCAUGGGAGUGGGUUGCAAAAGAAGUAGGUAGCUUAACCUUCGGGAGGGCGCUUACCACUUUGUGAUUCAUGACUGGGGUGAAGUCGUAACAAGGUAACCGUAGGGGAACCUGCGGUUGGAUCACCU
rnacentral:rRNA from 1 species